CCUACGGGAGGCAGCAGUGAGGAAUAUUGGUCAAUGGACGAGAGUCUGAACCAGCCAAGUAGCGUGAAGGAUGACUGCCCUAUGGGUUGUAAACUUCUUUUAUAUGGGAAUAAAAUGUUCCACGUGUGGGAUUUUGUAUGUACCAUAUGAAUAAGGAUCGGCUAACUCCGUGCCAGCAGCCGCGGUAAUACGGAGGAUCCGAGCGUUAUCCGGAUUUAUUGGGUGUAAAGGGAGCGUAGGUGGAUUGUUAAGUCAGUUGUGAAAGUUUUCGGCUCAACCGUAAAAUUGCAGUUGAUACUGGCAGUCUUGAGUACAGUAGAGUUAGGCGGAAUUCGUGGUGUAGCGGUGAAAUGCUUAGAUAUCACGAAGAACUCCGAUUGCGAAGGCAGCUUACUGGACUGCAACUGACACUGAGGCUCGAAAGUGUGGGUAUCAAACAGGAGUAGAUACCCGAGUAGUC
rnacentral:rRNA from 1 species